rnacentral:rRNA from 1 species
UGGCUCAGUACGAACGCUGGCGGCGUGCCUAAUACAUGCAAGUCGAGCGAACAGAAGGGAGCUUGCUCCCGGAUGUUAGCGGCGGACGGGUGAGUAACACGUGGGUAACCUGCCUGUAAGACUGGGAUAACUCCGGGAAACCGGAGCUAAUACCGGAUAGUUCCUUGAACCGCAUGGUUCAAGGAUGAAAGACGGUUUCGGCUGUCACUUACAGAUGGACCCGCGGCGCAUUAGCUAGUUGGUGGGGUAAUGGCUCACCAAGGCGACGAUGCGUAGCCGACCUGAGAGGGUGAUCGGCCACACUGGGACUGAGACACGGCCCAGACUCCUACGGGAGGCAGCAGUAGGGAAUCUUCCGCAAUGGACGAAAGUCUGACGGAGCAACGCCGCGUGAGUGAUGAAGGUUUUCGGAUCGUAAAGCUCUGUUGUUAGGGAAGAACAAGUGCGAGAGUAACUGCUCGCACCUUGACGGUACCUAACCAGAAAGCCACGGCUAACUACGUGCCAGCAGCCGCGGUAAUACGUAGGUGGCAAGCGUUGUCCGGAAUUAUUGGGCGUAAAGGGCUCGCAGGCGGUUUCUUAAGUCUGAUGUGAAAGCCCCCGGCUCAACCGGGGAGGGUCAUUGGAAACUGGGAAACUUGAGUGCAGAAGAGGAGAGUGGAAUUCCACGUGUAGCGGUGAAAUGCGUAGAGAUGUGGAGGAACACCAGUGGCGAAGGCGACUCUCUGGUCUGUAACUGACGCUGAGGAGCGAAAGCGUGGGGAGCGAACAGGAUUAGAUACCCUGGUAGUCCACGCCGUAAACGAUGAGUGCUAAGUGUUAGGGGGUUUCCGCCCCUUAGUGCUGCAGCUAACGCAU